GAUGAACGCUGGCGGCAUGCCUAAUACAUGCAAGUCGAACGAAGUCUUUAGAAAGCUUGCUUUUAAAAGACUUAGUGGCGAACGGGUGAGUAACACGUAGGGAACCUGCCCAUGUACCCGGGAUAACAGAUGGAAACGUCUGCUAAAACCGGAUAGGUAUAGACAAGGCAUCUUGACUAUAUUAAAGGACCUUCGGGUGUGGACAUGGAUGGACCUGCGGCGUAUUAGCCAGUUGGCGGGGUAACGGCCCACCAAAGCGAUGAUACGUAGCCGGCCUGAGAGGGUAGACGGCCACAUUGGGACUGAGACACGGCCCAAACUCCUACGGGAGGCAGCAGUAGGGAAUUUUCGUCAAUGGGGGGAACCCUGAACGAGCAAUGCCGCGUGAGUGAAGAAGGCCUUCGGGUCGUAAAGCUCUGUUGUAAGAGAAAAACGGUAAUGAUAGGGAAUGAUCAUUAAGUGAUGGUAUCUUACGAGGAAGCCACGGCUAACUACGUGCCAGCAGCCGCGGUAAUACGUAGGUGGCAAGCGUUAUCCGGAAUGAUUGGGCGUAAAGGGUGCGCAGGCGGAUGUAUAAGUCUGAAGUAAAAGCCAUCGGCUCAACCGAUGUAAGCUUUGGAAACUGUAGAUCUAGAGUGCAGGAGAGGACAGUGGUAUUCCAUGUGUAGCGGUAAAAUGCGUAGAUAUAUGGAGGAACACCAGUGGCGAAGGCGACUUUCUGGACAGUAACUGACGUUGAGGCACGAAAGUGUGGGGAGCAAACAGGAUUAGAUACCCUGGUAGUCCACACUGUAAACGAUGGAUACUAGGUGUAGGGUGUAUUAAGCACUCUGUGCCGCCGCAAACGCAUUAAGUAUCCCACCUGGGGAGUACGACCGCAAGGUUGAAACUCAAAGGAAUUGACGGGGGCCCGCACAAGCAGUGGAGUAUGUGGUUUAAUUCGAAGCAACGCGAAGAACCUUACCAGGGCUUGACAUAUACAGGAAUAUACAAGAGAUUGUAUAGCUCUUCGGAGUCUGUAUACAGGUGGUGCAUGGUUGUCGUCAGCUCGUGUCGUGAGAUGUUGGGUUAAGUCCCGCAACGAGCGCAACCCCUGCUUUUAGUUGCCAGCACGUAAUGGUGGGAACUCUAGAAGGACUGCCGGUGAUAAAUCGGAGGAAGGUGGGGACGACGUCAAACCAUCAUGCCCUUUAUGUCCUGGGCUACACACGUACUACAAUGGCCGCAACAGAGGGAAGCAAAAUAGUGAUAUGGAGCAAAACCCUAAAAACGGUCUCAGUUCGGAUUGAAGGCUGAAAUUCGCCUUCAUGAAGCUGGAAUUGCUAGUAAUGGCAGGUCAGCAUACUGCCGUGAAUACGUUCCCGGGCCUUGUACACACCGCCCGUCACACCAUGAGAGUUGGGAAUACCCGAAGCCUGUGAGCUAACUGUAAGGAGGCAGCAGUCGAAGGUAGAAUCAAUGAUUGGGGUG
rnacentral:rRNA from 1 species